CGGGGUGAGUAAUGUCUGGGAAACUGCCUGAUGGAGGGGGAUAACUACUGGAAACGGUAGCCAAUACCGCAUAACGUCUUCGGACCAAAGUGGGGGACCUUCGGGCCUCACGCCAUCGGAUGUGCCCAGAUGGGAUUAGCUAGUAGGUGGGGUAAUGGCUCACCUAGGCGACGAUCCCUAGCUGGUCUGAGAGGAUGACCAGCCACACUGGAACUGAGACACGGUCCAG
rnacentral:rRNA from 1 species